AUGAGAAGAGGAUGUAACGACCAAAUUGAUCGCAUUGCAUUAAAGAUCCACGAAUUACGCAUCAACAACAGGGGCCUGAUCUGGAGGCGCCGAAAGAAUUGUGCUACAAGCCGAGCGCAACCACAUCGCACAGAAAUUCUACAUCAGAACAUCUCUCCACUUCAUGAGACAGACAGAACGGAUCCGAACUACUAUUUCUUGCCGGCGGCGUUCUUCUUCUUGGCGUCGUCGGCCCCCUGCGUGGCCUGCGCCGCCUUCUUGGCGGUCUUCUCCUGCAGCGCCUUGGCGUCCCUCUCUCGUCGCUGCUCCGGCGUGAGCCCGUCGUCGCGGCCCUUGGUCCCCGGCUUCCGCGCCUGCGCCCGCUGCCGGUCCCGCUCCCUCUGUCAUGGCUGCUCCGAGGUCGAGAGAUUUGGGGAACGGGAGAAGGGUUGA
rnacentral:rRNA from 1 species